AACGAACGCUGGCGGCAUGCCUAACACAUGCAAGUCGAACGAGACCUUCGGGUCUAGUGGCGCACGGGUGCGUAACGCGUGGGAACCUGCCCUUAGGUUCGGAAUAACUCCCCGAAAGGGGUGCUAAUACCGGAUAAUGUCUUCGGACCAAAGAUUUAUCGCCUUUGGAUGGGCCCGCGUUGGAUUAGCUAGUUGGUAGGGUAAAAGCCUACCAAGGCGACGAUCCAUAGCUGGUCUGAGAGGAUGAUCAGCCACACUGGGACUGAGACACGGCCCAGACUCCUACGGAAGGAAGAAGGGGGGAAAAUGGGAAAAGGGGCGAAAGCCGGAUCCACAAAGGCGGGGGGAGGGAGGAAGGCUUUAGGGUGGAAAAGCUCUUUUACCCGGGAGGAUAAGGACAGAACCGGGGGAAUAAGCUCCGGCUAACUCCGU
rnacentral:rRNA from 1 species